rnacentral:rRNA from 1 species
GACGAACGCUGGCGGCGUGCCUAAUACAUGCAAGUAGAACGCUGAAGUCUGGUGCUUGCACUAGACGGAUGAGUUGCGAACGGGUGAGUAACGCGUAGGUAACCUGCCUCAUAGCGGGGGAUAACUAUUGGAAACGAUAGCUAAUACCGCAUAACAGUAUUUACCGCAUGGUAGAUGCUUGAAAGGAGCAAUUGCUUCACUAUGAGAUGGACCUGCGUUGUAUUAGCUAGUUGGUGGGGUAACGGCCUACCAAGGCGACGAUCAGUAGCCGGCCUGAGAGGGUGAACGGCCACAUUGGGACUGAGACACGGCCCAA